CCUACGGUGUGCUGCAGUAGGGAAUAUUGCUCAAUGGGGGAAACCCUGAAGCAGCAACGCCGCGUGGAGGAUGAAGGUUUUCGGAUUGUACACUCCUUUUGUUAGAGAAGAUAAUGACGGUAUCUAACGAAUAAGCACCGGCUAACUCCGUGCCAGCAGCCGCGGUAAUACGGAGGGUGCAAGCGUUACUCGGAAUCACUGGGCGUAAAGAGCGCGUAGGCGGGAUAGCAAGGCAGAUGUGAAAUCCUAUGGCUUAACCAUAAAACUGCAUUUGAAACUGUUAUUCUAGAGUAUUGGAGGGGGAAGUUGAAAUUUUUGGUGAAGGGGAAAAAUC
rnacentral:rRNA from 1 species